GAUUAAGGGCGCGCGGUGGAUGCCUAGGCUCUCGGAGGCGAUGAAGGACGCGAUAAGCCGCGAUAGUCCACGGCGAGGUGCAAGUAACCCUUGACCCGUGGGUUUCCGAAUGGGGCAACCCGGCCGUCUAGAUGACGGUCAUGCAUUAUCAUGCAGGCGAACGCGGGGAACUGAAACAUCUCAUUACCCGCAGGAGAAGAAAACAACAGUGAUUCCCCCAGUAGUGGCGAGCGAACGGGGAAGAGCCCAAACCGCUGCCGUUUCGGCGACGGCGGGGUCAUGGGACCGCGACAUUCGACGGAAGACGAAGUGCAAUUACCUGGAAAGGUAAGCCGUGGAGGGUGACAGCCCCGUGCACGACACCUCUUUCUUAGAUAGCGGUAUCCCGAGUAGGGCGGGACACGAGAAAUCCUGCCUGAAUUCGCCAGGACCUCCUGGCAAGGCUAAAUACUCCCGAGAGACCGAUAGUGAACCAGUACCGCGAGGGAAAGGUGAAAAGUACCCCGAGCAGGGGGGUGAAAUAGACCCUGAACCCGCGCGCCUACAAGCGGUCGGAGCCACGCGAUGUGGUGACGGCGUGCCUUUUGCAUAAUGAGCCUACGAGUUAGUCGUCACCAGCGAGGUUAAGGGCUUCAGGCCCGUUAGCCGAAGUGAAAGCGAGCCUUAACAGGGCGUCAAGUUGGUGGCGCUAGACGCGAAACCUUGUGAUCUACCCACGAGCAGGUUGAAGUCGCGGUAACACGUGAUGGAGGACCGAACCGGUAAACGUUGAAAAGUUUUCGGAUGACUCGCGGGUAGGGGUGAAAGGCCAAUCAAACUGGGAAAUAGCUCGUACUCUCCGAAAUGCAUUUCGGUGCAGCCUGUGAUGUUCUGUUCCAGAGGUAGAGCUACUGGUUGGACGCGAGGGCUUCACCGCCUAUCAAAUCCGGAUAAACUCCGAAUGCUGGAACACGAAAUCAUGGAGUGAGCCCGCGGGUGCUAAGGUCCGCGGACGAGAGGGAAAGAACCCGGACCACCGGCUAAGGUCCCGGAUGGACAGUUAAGUUGAUCAAACGAGGUGGGAUCGCGGAGACAGCUAGGAUGUUGGCUUGGAAGCAGCCAUUCAUUUAAAGAGUGCGUAACAGCUCACUAGUCGAGCGAUCCCGCGUGGAUAAUACACGGGCAUAAAACUGUCAACCGAAGCCGUGGGGUUAGCUUUAUUGCUAACCGGUAGGAGAGCAUUCCUGCCAGCUUUGAAGGUCACCCGCGAGAGUGACUGGAGCGGCAUGAAAAGCAAAUGUAGGCAUAAGUAACGAUAAUGGGGGCGAGAACCCCCCACGCCGCAAGACCAAGGAUUCCCCGGCAAUGUCAAUCAGCCGGGGGUCAGCCGGCCUCUAAGGCUCACCCGAAUGGGGAUGCCGACGAGAAACGGGUUAACAUUCCCGUGCUUCUCGUCACCGUGACGCGGUGACGGGGUGAUGAAUGGACCGCGCGCUGACGGAAUAGCGCGUUGAAGGCCGUACCCUUUGACGGUGGUAGUCAAGCACGCCACCGGAGGCGAAAGUCGAUAGUACCUCGAGGCCUCGGCCGAGGGGAUAGCGUCCAGGCAAUUUACCCCCGAGAAAACCCGCUAAACUUCAAGUGACGAGGAACCGUACUGUAAACGGACACACGUGGUCGGGUAGAACAUACCAAGGCGCUCGAGUGAUUCAUGGUCAAGGAACUAGGCAAAAUAGUCCUGUAACUUAGGGAUAAAGGACGCUCUAGUGAUAGAGCCGCAGAGAAAUGGCCCAGGCGACUGUUUACCAAAAACACAUGGCUAUGCCAAAUCGAAAGAUGACGUAUAUGGCCUGACACCUGCCCGGUGCCGGAAGGUUAAGAGGAGAGCUCAUCGGAAACGAGAAGGUUUGAAUUGAAGCCCCGGUAAACGGCGGCCGUAACUAUAACGGUCCUAAGGUAGCGAAAUUCCUUGUCGGGU
rnacentral:rRNA from 1 species